UCACAUUCUAUAAAUGAAUGCAAUCUGCCA
rnacentral:piRNA from 1 species